AAGUCGUAACAAGGUAACCGUAGGUGAACCUGCGGUUGGAUCAUUAACAAAACUAGAAGGCCCAAGGCCUUUCUAACAUUCUGUGAACUGUUUAUUGUCUCUGGCGAGUUCUGCUCGCAUGUAUAUUUUAAACUAUUGUCUAAAUAUAGUCAAAAAAGCUUAAAAAUCUUAAUUAAAAACAACUUUUAACAACGGAUCUCUAGGCUCUC
rnacentral:misc_RNA from 1 species